rnacentral:rRNA from 1 species
UGGGGAAUAUUGCACAAUGGGCGCAAGCCUGAUGCAGCCAUGCCGCGUGUAUGAAGAAGGCCUUCGGGUUGUAAAGUACUUUCAGCGGGGAGGAAGGCGAUAAGGUUAAUAACCUUGUCGAUUGACGUUACCCGCAGAAGAAGCACCGGCUAACUCCGUGCCAGCAGCCGCGGUAAUACGGAGGGUGCAAGCGUUAAUCGGAAUUACUGGGCGUAAAGCGAACGCAGGCGGUCUGUCAAGUCGGAUGUGAAAUCCCCGGGCUCAACCUGGGAACUGCAUUCGAAACUGGCAGGCUAGAGUAUUGUAGAGGGGGGUAGAAUUCCAGGUGUAGAGGUAAAAUGCGUAGAGAUCUGGAGUAAUACCGGUGGCGAAGGCGGCCCCCUGGACAAAGACUGACGCUCAGGUGCGAAAGCGUGGGGAGCAAACA